rnacentral:lncRNA from 1 species
UUAGAAGAGUGCAUUCAAGAUGAAGUCAAUAGAGUUAUCAUGAUGGUAAGUUAAGAAGUUCAAUAUUCUGCCCUCUUGGAACCAGCCAUGAAGGUAGGAUAUUAGCUUUUUCAGCCUAGAUCAUUAAACUCUUUCAAAAAUGGGCUGUCAUGCUGUUAAUUACCCUAGUAACUAAAAGGCCGUGUGUAAUUUCCUUUUUUCUCAGGAACAAGUUCAAAGUGAUGUGGCUCGCUAAUUUCUAUCUUACCUGAUAAUGCCAGGCUUUUCAUGGAGCCUACCAGACUAUGUACAGAAAAAGAAGAGACAUCAACUGUCUUGAUUUUUUUUUUUUUUAUUCUACUUCAGUGACUUGGAGUGGAUGUAAACAUAUCAUUGCUGAACUGCCCUGUACCACAGCUUUCACUGUAAGGCCACAAUAGCACUGUGAAACAAUACAACUACUUUUUGUUUGAAGGAUCUUUAGGAAACUGUUUAAUAUAUGCACACGUAUCUUGCUACUUUAUGCCAUGGUAACAUAGAGUUUACAUCUUUAUCAACCGUGCAAGAGAAGGAUUUGUCAUCUCUGGGCCAAGCCUCCAUCUGCCUCAUGGUGUCGCAGACUUCUCCACUGUGUACCACCCUAACAGCACUAAGAUUUUGUUCAUUCAGUAAGAUGUUUGCAGCUUUGGCUCUGGAGCAGUCCUCGGACACAGUCAAAUGGCAAUGCCAGUCUGUGAAUCUGAACAGCCUCAAUAUGAAAUCUCCCAGCACAACUAUGUAGUAAUACAAGCUGCCUUAGGGGAAUGACUCCAGGCUGAUCUUAGUGGCUAUUACAAUAGAAAGUGGUAAAACAAAUGUUGAGGAAUUUCAAUGCCACUUCAAGAGCAGAGAGAUUCAAGGAGGUGGGAAGACCUUGAUGGAGCAUGCCUUUCUCAGUGACUCUGGCACAUACUGCUGUGUCAAGAAUGAAGAAGAGUAGCUACAUUUGGAACAAAAGGGGCCUACUAUCCUUCUCAUCUGCACUGCACAAAGUUGCAGGACAAUACCUUUUUACACAUUACUGUCUCUACUCCUUAGCCUUCCCUUCUUUCUCAGACUCUUUCCUGCUUUCAUUCCUUGCCUCCUUCUUUGUUUACUCUCAUUUACAUUAUAUUCAUUUAUGUCAAUCCAUAUAACUAACUUUGCCUCCCUUCUUCUCCUCACCUUUCUGCCUCCCUUCACUCCUCACUUAAAUCCAUUCCCUCUUUGUUUUCUGGCCUCCUUUGACCUCUGUCCAGGUUCUGGCCCUGUUCAGACUAGUUCUGUGACUAAUGGGACAAAGAGACCCACAGAUGCAUGCCCCAAGAAAAGGGGGAUGGGGAUAGAGAAAGGGUAGGGAGAUGGGCCUAAAAAAAAAGAGAAAAGUCUCAUGACUCCCAGUCAGCUUUAUAUUUCCCUCUGAAUGGAAAACAGAAACAGAACAGAGAAGUCUUCUGAGAGCUGUAGUUUGUUCUUCUCUUCUGAGACAGGUACUCAGAACUACUGACAAUCCAUGGAACUGCAGCAUUAACUCUUCAACUCCCAGUGCACUAUGUGAUGUUAUGAUGUGGAAUCUCAAUAACAAAAAUCAUAAAACCAUGACAACUUCUCACCACACCUCUUUACUUUCCCUAUCCAUGUGCUAGUUCUCUAAAAAAUUUUUUUCUCUCCAUACUCUCCUAAAGAAAAUGGGCAGGGCUAGUAGUUUGGAUACAUUGACUUCCAUUUCAUGCCCAUGCUUUCCCCAGCCUGCUCCUUCCUGGAAACAGAGGAAGUCUGUUCUCCACAAAGGAAGUCUCCUGCACAGCCACACCUUUGUGUGUCCAUGCUGUGCUGACUUUGAAAAAUCACGUGGUGGAAAAUCUUGAUCACUACCUUUGAAUGAGUGACAAUAUUUGAUCUGCUUAAAUCUUCACGGAGAAUCUACAUGGAGUUCUCAUGACCAGAACAGCCAGAGAUUGAUCCCAAGUCUCUGAGUAAGAUGUUGUCUGAUUCAUAAACACCACCGGGAGGAAGCUGAACUACAGCAGUAGAACUUCAUUGUCACACAGCUAUUGCAGAGGGAAGUCCACAAGACGUGAUCCUGUGCAUUAGCUGAGAUGGU